rnacentral:lncRNA from 1 species
GACAGCUACAGUCUCUGCCUUCCUGGUUUUAGCAGAUAAUUGCAGAGAAAAGAGUAUUUAGCUUACAUUUUGGAAGCUAAAAGUCCAGAGGCGUCAUCAGGUCAGCAAGGGCUCCCUUGCCUGUGAGCAUCACAUAGCAGUUUCGGGAUCAUGGCUGGAUGAUGCAGCCAAGGUUUCUCCAGGAUGGCCAUCCUCCCCAAGGGGGCUGAUUGCUGGUACCCAGGCAAGAUGUCUCCUUUCUGAGUACUUCUGAGUGGCUUCCUCUCAGAAACUUCUAGUUGAGCUUCCCCAACACUUGAUAUUUCCCCUGCAGUGAACUGGACGCCCAGUGUUCACCCACUGCCAGGGGUUCAUCCUUUUAAAUCUCAGUGCCUUUUCAUGUUCAGGCAUACCUAUUAAAAGAUGAACACCCUGGAAAGUGCACCUUGUUAAGCUCAUAAUUUGCAAUACAGAACCCAGGCUUCUUGUUGCUUAAGGGCGAGCCCUGGAGUAAUAGAACUUAUCUUCCUCUAGUGGUAUCUUUCUGUGGUUGGCACACUUCACACAUCAGUCUUCAUGACAACCCUACAGGAAAGCCACGUGGUAAAAGAG